GCUACUUCGCUGUCGGCUCUCCCUAUCCUGGCGGUGCAGCAGCUGCCAAGGGUGGGGUUGUUCGCCCAUUAAAAGGGAUCGUGAGCUGGGUUUAGACCGUCGUGAGACAGGUUUGUUGCUUUUUGGUGGAAGUGUAUUGAUGCCUGACGGGAAGGAUCCUUUAGUACGAGAGGAACAGGGAUUCGUCGCCUCUAGUUCAUCAGUUGUCUGGCAAGGCACUGCUGAGCAGCCACGCGAUAAUGGAUAAGAGCUGAACGCAUCUAAGCUCGAAACUACCCCGGAAAAGAGGCAUCUUAGAACACCCGUAUAUGACGGGUUUGAUAGGACAGGGGUGUAA
rnacentral:rRNA from 1 species